GACGAACGCUGGCGGCGUGCUUAACACAUGCGAGUCGAACGGAAAGGCCCUGCUUUUGUGGGGUGCUCGAGUGGCGAACGGGUGAGUAACACGUGAGUAACCUGCCCUUGACUUUGGGAUAACUUCAGGAAACUGGGGCUAAUACCGGAUAGGAGCUCCUGCUGCAUGGUGGGGGUUGGAAAGUUUCGGCGGUUGGGGAUGGACUCGCGGCUUAUCAGCUUGUUGGUGGGGUAGUGGCUUACCAAGGCUUUGACGGGUAGCCGGCCUGAGAGGGUGACCGGCCACAUUGGGACUGAGAUACGGCCCAGACUCAUACGGGAGGCAGCAGCGGGGAAUAUUGCAAAAUGGGCGGAAGCGUGAUGGAGCAACGCCGCGUGCGGGAUGACGGCCUUCGGGUUGUAAACCGCUUUCGCCUGUGACGAAGCGUGAGUGACGGUAAUGGGUAAAGAAGCACCGGCUAACUACGG
rnacentral:rRNA from 1 species